UAAAUCUCACUGAGUUAAGUGGAUGGUAAAUGGUUUGAUUAUUGAUAAAUGAAUUUAUUUAAAAUUUGUGCUCCAUUGGUUGUUUUUGGUUUUCUACCAACAUUUACUUAUGUGACGGUGAAUAGUGUGAUGUCCUUACUAGGCUAGUUUAGCUCAUUCCUUAUUUAACAAUUUCAGAUCAGGAGGACUUGGUUCCCGAGCCCGAUCCACAAGAAUACGGCGAGUAGAUGCUAGAUGUCGUAUAGUUUUCUUUAUACUGCUUUCAUUUAUAGUAUUUCUUUUAGAGAAUUUAUUCUUUAAUAUUGUUUAGUAUUU
rnacentral:lncRNA from 1 species